AUCGCAUCCCCAAUGAAAUCCCAAACGCCAGUAAAUGAAAUUUUUGCCAGUAAUGUCCAAGCACUUGCAAUAUUCCUUGAUAGAAGCAAGUCCUGUUUACAGGUAUUCCCCAUUCCUCCUUGCAGCCAACUGCAUUCUGCAAAUAAUCUUUCAUCUAAAUCUCCAAUAUUUCAUCCCUUCAUCUAAACUCAAGGUUACAGAAUCUGCAUCCCUAACUCUUAAUGGCACAACCAGUUUGUAAAAGCUUCUACAGAUGCUGACUCGUCAAACUGUCAGUAUCCUGCCAUCACAGGGACUUUUUCCCAAAGGGAAUUAUUCUUCCGCACCCAAACUAUUUGAUCACGAGAGAGAUGUUCAGAUUCGGUGAAUGCCUCUGACACAAACAAUCAGGCAAGGGAUUUACAUAAAAGGCUUCUUCAGAACGAAACCUAUCCAUGCCCUUUGUUCCUGAGAUGGGACCUUUUCUCCUCCUUGGUGAUCCUUGCCGUCUUUUGUGGAUUUCAAUGAUAUUCUUUGAUAAACUUUCACCUUCUUUCAGUUUUCCCCGUUCAAUUUUGUCAAACAAACGAACAAGUUGUUUCCUAUCAGGAGAAAUUGUUUUUCUAUGUCCCAGAAAACGACGGUGACCUUCCACUGCCCUUGCCAUGUUUCCAGAGUAUGAUGGAAUAAACACAUCACUUUCAAUGGAAACAAUAUAGUCGAGCGCAGCCAUUUGAGAUGCAUGAUUAGUAAAUGGUUCAAGCUCCUCAACAGAAGCCAAUUUUUCCUUGCUCAUUAAAAUGGGAUAGCGGGAUUGCAGGUCGACCAUGUGAGAAUCACCUCCAUAUAUCUCUCCUGCGGCAAUGUAUAUUGGGGUGUUUGAGGGGUAUCCCAGUGCAGUGAGAAACAUAGCAACCUCUUUUGGAAUUAGAGGGCAAUAACCUUUGGAUCUCUGCUCCCUAGAAUCAAUCUGCUUUACUUUCCAGUAUGCAGUUUCUUCUCUGAUCUUCUUCAAUUCAUCAGCUUCAGCACUAGAUAAACCAUGUGUACAUCCACUAAAGGCAAGCAUGUCCUUUUCAUAUCGCAAAUGUAAAGCAAUGUAUGGACCAUAUAACCUCAUCCGCUCCACCAACAUUUUU
rnacentral:misc_RNA from 1 species